GACGUAGGUGGCGAACGUUAUCCGGAAUUAUUGGGCGUAAAGGAUGCGUAGAUGGUGUAGUAAGUUAUCGGUGGCAAAUCGAGGCUCAACCUCGUGGAAGUCGGUAAUACUGCUAUGCUAGAGGAUAGGAGAGGUUAACGGAACUCCCUGUGGAGCGGUGAAAUGCGUAGAUAUAGGGAAGAACACCAAUAAGGCGAAGGCAGUUAACUAUUCUACUCCUGACAUUGAGGCAUGAAAGCGUGGGGAGCAAAAUGG
rnacentral:rRNA from 1 species